rnacentral:misc_RNA from 1 species
UUUCCGUAGGUGAACCUGCGGAAGGAUCAUUAAAGAGUAAGGGUCUUCUAGGCCCGACCUCCCAACCCUUUGUUUACCAAACCAUUGUUGCUUCGGCGGGCCCGUCCCAGGACCGCCGGAGGACCGUCAAACGUCCUCUGGCCCGAGCCCGUCGAUGGCCCCUAUCAUUAAACUCUGAACCAAGCGUGUCCUGUCUGAGUGAUUAUUAUCAAAAAUUAAAGCAAAACUUUCAACAACGGAUCUCUUGGUUCUG